AUGGUAGUUGAAGGGGACACUGGGACGUCAAAGGGCAAGGAAGUUGACGAGGCUGCCUAUGGAGACUUUUCUCAUUGGGCCUCCACUGAUGAAGGUAAUCCGACAAAGGCAUCUCUUACUCCUAAUGAGAAUGCUUCAGAGUGGGUCCUAGACUCUGGAGCAUCUAAGCAUGUUGCGGGUAAUUCCUGUGUGUUUGAGUCUUACAGUAAGCAUCCUCCUACUCACAAGGGCACUAUACAAACUGCUGAUGGGACAAAUCAGCCUGUCGUAGGGGUUGGCACAGUCAAGUGCACUUCAAACAUCUCCUUAUCGUCAGUUUUACAUGUGCCAGCUUUUCCUGUCAAUUUGGUCUCUUUCAGUGCUCUCAUUGAUGAAAUAGACUGUCGUGUGAUCCUUGACAAGUUCGGAUGCUUGAUUCAGGUACGACAGACGAGCCAGACGGUUGGGACUGGCACCAGGCGUAGGGGGCUUUGGUACAUGGACCAGGAGGUGCAGCCAGACUUGGUGUGUGCUGUGACCAUGGAGGACAAGGAGAAGGAGGCGACGAUCCAUCACUGUAGGAUGGGGCAUGUAUCUUUUGAUAAGAUGAGUAGAAUAUUUCCGGAUGUUAUGUGUGGAAUAGGCAAGGGCAAGUUAACAUGUGAUGCUUGCGAAUAUGCAAAACACACACGAGCCUCAUAUGUGAGUAAGGGCCUUAGGAGCAUAUCUCCUUUUAUGCUUAUUCAUUCGGAUGUAUGGACUAGCCCGGUAGUGUCAAUGAAUGGAAAGAAGUACUUUGCUACCUUUAUUGACUGCUAUUCUCGUAUGACUUGGAUUUACUUGAUGCGUCACAAGGAUGAGGUGUUUAGCUGUUUUCAGAACUUCCAUGCUCUUGUAAAGAACCAGUUUCAGGUACAGGUCAAGGUGCUCAGGGCUGACAAUGGCACAGAGUAUGUGAACAACAUUUUUGGGGCUUUCAUGGCUGAGCAAGGGAUUCUUCAUCAAACUUCAUGCCCGGACACCCCACCUUAG
rnacentral:rRNA from 1 species